rnacentral:rRNA from 1 species
UACGUAGGGUGCGAGCGUUAAUCGGAAUACUGGGCGUAAAGCGUGCGCAGGCGGUGAGCUGUGUCCGAUGUGAAAGCCCGGGCUUAACCCUGGGAAUGGCAUUGGAAACUGGCUCGCUGGAGUGUGGCAGAGGGGGGUGGAAUUCCGCGUGUAGCAGUGAAAUGCGUAGAGAUGCGGAGGAACACCGAUGGCGAAGGCAGCCCUCGGCGUCACACUGACGCUCAGCGACGAAAGCGUGGGGAGCAAACAGGAUUAGAACCGUACCGUCGAGACCAAGAUCCA